GAUGAACGCUGGCGGCGUGCCUAAUACAUGCAAGUCGAGCGAACAGACGAGGAGCUUGCUCCUCUGACGUUAGCGGCGGACGGGUGAGUAACACGUGGAUAACCUACCUAUAAGACUGGGAUAACUUCGGGAAACCGGAGCUAAUACCGGAUAAUAUAUUGAACCGCAUGGUUCAAUAGUGAAAGACGGUUUUGCUGUCACUUAUAGAUGGAUCCGCGCCGCAUUAGCUAGUUGGUAAGGUAACGGCUUACCAAGGCGACGAUGCGUAGCCGACCUGAGAGGGUGAUCGGCCACACUGGAACUGAGACACGGUCCAGACUCCUACGGGAAGCAGCAGUAGGGAAUCUUCCGCAAUGGGCGAAAGCCUGACGGAGCAACGCCGCGUGAGUGAUGGAGGUCUUCGGAUCGUAAAACUCUGUUAUUAGGGAAGAACAAAUGUGUAAGUAACUAUGCACGUCUUGACGGUACCUAAUCAGAAAGCCACGGCUAACUACGUG
rnacentral:rRNA from 1 species